AGGCGCGUAGCUCAGUGGUAGAGCACUACCUUGACACGGUAGGGGUCGCCAGUUCAAUCCUGGCCGCGCCUA
rnacentral:tRNA from 1 species